rnacentral:rRNA from 1 species
UACGUAGGAUGCAAGCGUUGUUCGGAAUUACUGGGCGUAAAGAGUACGUAGGCGGUAAUAUAAGUUUAAUAUUAAAGACCGAAGCUUAACUUCGGGAAUGUAUUGAAAACUGUAUUGCUAGAGGUUAAUAGAGGAAGUCGGAAUUCUCAGUGUAGCGGUGAAAUGCGUAGAUAUUGGGAAGAACACCAGUGGCGAAAGCGGACUUCUGGGUUAAUACUGACGCUGAGGUACGAAAGUGUGGGGAGCAAACGGG